CAGGCAGGUGGUCUAUCCACUAGGCCACACAACUUGUCGUCAUCAUCACGAUAAAGAGUUUCUGCCUGGCGCACAGGGAAAGGAAUUGUCUUCGGAGGUUUGUGGACAGGAACCAAAGAGAGAGAAGACAGAGAUGGAUAAGGGGACUCUCCACCAUUAAAGGGGACCAUAAAGGACCAAGAGCACGCAGAUGGUUCCGAUGAGGGACGACUUUCUUCUGGAUUUGCUGCUUCCAGUUCCAAAUUCUGCCAAAGAUUCGACUCUCCUCUGACACUCAUUGUUAGAGAGUGCACUCUUCAUCACCCCGGCAGAAAAGUGCUGCGUAGGCAGGUACGGAGGAGAGUGGACCGUAUCUUCCUCUAGAGCCGAAAACAGAUUGACAGAGGAAGGGAACGUUUCUUCCUGUGGACCCGUGCCGCCCCCGCUGCUGGGAAGUUCUUUACAGCUGCAGGCCUGACCACCUGUGACAGCAGCCUUCAAUAGCUGGAUAUCCUGUUCUGAGUUCUGCUUCGGAGCCGUCCGGGAUGAUUGCAUGGGAAGUGAAUUGUGACUUUCCAGGGUUUUAGGUAUGCCAAGAUCAGCUAGGGAAACAUGGGGUGGGAAUAGACAAAAGACCGAUAGUUGCCAUUUCCUUGUUCCCUGAAAUUCAAGAGGAGGGAAUGGGUAAAUUUGAGAGAGAAUUGCACCGGACAUUUAAUAAAGAUUAUAUCAUUGAUAGACUCCAGUUGAAAUUCAAGAACACUAAGAUGAUUAAAAACCCAGAAGGUAUA